rfam:Nomascus leucogenys chromosome 16, whole genome shotgun sequence.
GCCGGGCGUGGUGGCGGGCGCCUGUAAUCCCAGCUACUCCGGAGGCUGAGGCGGGAGAAUCGCUUGAACCCGGGAGGCGGAGGUUGCAGUGAGCCGAGAUGGCGCCACCGCACUCCAGCCUGGGCAACAAAGCGAGACUCCAUCUCAA